GACGCGGGCGGAGCUGGCCAGGCAGUAGCUGAUAUAAGACAAGGGCCAAGUAGUCCACAGGGUGCUGCCUCCCCUCCCACAACAGACCGGAGCAGCAUUCUAAAUCCUGGAGAAAACAUGAGAAAAUUGAUAAUUGGAACGCUGCUUCCUUGGCCCUUGGGAGAGGAACUGGAUGAUGUAACAGGGCUGACCAGUUCUGGCUUUUAUGAGUCUGAGAUUACUCCAUCAAUUGCAGCCUAAAGACUCGGACCCAACAGUACACAGAAGAUGAGUGAUCAGAGAGCGCAUCUCUACAG